CAGGAUGUUCAGGCUGCUUUGGAGAGUGUGACUCUAAUGGUGUUUGUGCACAGUGUAAGGACGGAUUCAAGGGCAGUAAAUGUUUGGAAACUUGUAUAAACUGUGGAGGUUCCGGCGUCUGUGACAAAAACGGCAAGUGUGAUUCCUGUAUCGACGGUUUCUACGGAGGCAACUGUGAAAAAUCGUGUUCCAACUGCGCAGGAAGUGGCGGCUGUGACACCGUGACAGGUGGUUGCAGUGAAGGUUGUAAAGAUGGUUUUUACUCACUGU
rnacentral:sRNA from 1 species